rnacentral:rRNA from 1 species
GAGACUCCUACGGGGAGGCAGCAGUGGGGAAUAUUGCACAAUGGAGGAAACUCUGAUGCAGCGACGCCGCGUGAAGGAUGAAGUAUUUCGGUAUGUAAACUUCUAUCAGCAGGGAAGAAAAUGACGGUACCUGACUAAGAAGCCCCGGCUAACUACGUGC